GAUGAACGCUGGCGGCGUGCCUAAUACAUGCAAGUCGAACGCGCAGCGAAAGGUGCUUGCACCUUUCAAGCGAGUGGCGAACGGGUGAGUAACACGUGGAUAACCUGCCUCAAGGCUGGGGAUAACAUUUGGAAACAGAUGCUAAUACCGAAUAAAACUUAGUAUCGCAUGAUACAAAGUUAAAAGGCGCUACGGCGUCACCUAGAGAUGGAUCCGCGGUGCAUUAGUUAGUUGGUGGGGUAAAGGCUUACCAAGACGAUGAUGCAUAGCCGAGUUGCGAGACUGAUCGGCCACAUUGGGACUGAGACACGGCCCAAACUCCUACGGGAGGCUGCAGUAGGGAAUCUUCCACAAUGGGCGCAAGCCUGAUGGAGCAACGCCGCGUGUGUGAUGAAGGCUUUCGGGUCGUAAAGCACUGUUGUAUGGGAAGAAAUGCUAAAAUAGGGAAUGAUUUUAGUUUGACGGUACCAUACCAGAAAGGGACGGCUAAAUACGUGCCAGCAGCCGCCGUAA
rnacentral:rRNA from 1 species